UCUCUUCCAUUUCAUUUCAAUUUUUUUUUUCUCCUCAUCGAUUUCUGUUGCUGUUACCGAAACUCUUGCCCUAAACCUCAUCACUUUGUUUUUUUUUUUUUCUUUCUUCUUCUGCACUGCUUCUGGUUUCCGGUGUGCGUGUGCUGUCUGCUGCAUCACAGUUUCUCUCCAGUUUUGUGUUUCGAUUUUCCCUCUGCAACACGGCGUGCAUCGCUCCGCAGCCUCCAUCUUCCGACUGUUUCUGUUUCUUGCCCUGGGUUUUGAGUGUACGUUUUGUCGGUUUUUGAGUUUGUCACUCGUGUAAUCGUUGAAGCCUUUGCUGGAAUUCUUGUUGCCGUGGGUGACGAGACGGAUAGAAACCGUAUUCAAGUCAUA